CCAGCACCGGGCAUGCGUGUCAUGUGAUGUCCCGCGUUGCCUGCUGGGAAGUGUAGUCCUCAGUCAUUGACAGCACAGGGGCAGUCUCUCGCUCACAGGCCAGGGUCGGAGGCGGAGCUGCCUGAAGCCAGUCUUGUAUGCAGUGCAGUGGUGUGGGUCCCAGCACCUUAGAGAGACAACGACAAAAUAACGAAACAAGAUUUGUCUAAUUCUAGCACUGCAAGCGUAACUUUGGAUCUGAAAAUCAAGAUGAGUUCAUCUUCAUCAGGUGUGUGGCAGACGGACCUGCUUUGCCAAGGUGAUCAAUUUGGCUGGUUUUGGAUUACAAUUCCCUUCAAGAACAGGACCCCGGCCUUCCACAAUGCCCGAGAUCGAAAGGUGGAGAAAUACAUCCCUCUGGCCAAAGCUUUGAGAGCUAAGAGUUACCAGGUUCAGACACACGUGCUGAUCAUUGGAGUCCUAGGCGCAUGGGACCCCAGUAACGAGCGAGUGCUGAGAGAAUGCGGAAUCGGUCAGCGCUACGCUUGGCUGAUGUGGCAACUCAUGUUGUCGGAUGCCAUCGGGUGGUCAAGGAACAUCUACAUAGAUCACAUCACCGGACAUCGGCAAUACCAGGAGGGAUGAGCUGAAGUCGGGAAAGUAAUUGAAAUACGUUCCUCAUUGAUUGUAUUUUCUAAAUGGACAACCUACCCUAAAUUCUCAAUUACUGAGGGACACUCUUCACUCAUUGCUAUAUUUGCUUUCCACAACCAACUCUCUCUAUAAUUUUUCGUGAGUGAUGUACUUGGAUGCUAAUACCUAAACUGUAUUCUUAAAUUUAUUCACCUAAAUUUGGGUUAUUGCUGAUUAGGCACUAUAUGUAGCUUAUGACUUUAAAAACAAACUUUGUAUUUGUGGAUAAUCUAAGCACUAUACCCAGAUGU